rnacentral:misc_RNA from 1 species
GAAAUGCGAUAAGUAAUGUGAAUUGCAGAAUUCAGUGAAUCAUCGAAUCUUUGAACGCACAUUGCGCCCGUCAGCAUUCUGGCGGGCAUGCCUGUUCGAGCGUCAUUUCAACCCUCAGGACCCCCCUUUCGCGGGGAGGGACCUGGCGUUGGGGAUCGGCCCGCCCCCCGUGGCGGCGCCGUCCCCGAAAUCUAGUGGCGGUCUCGCUGCAGCCUCCCCUGCGUAGUAGUUACAACCUCGCAUCGGGGCGCGGCGCGGCCACGCCGUAAAACCCCCGACUUUCUGAACGUUGACCUCGGAUCAGGUAGGAAUACCCGCUGAACUUAAGC